rnacentral:rRNA from 1 species
AACGAACGCUGGCGGCAUGCCUAACACAUGCAAGUCGAACGAACCCUUCGGGGUUAGUGGCGCACGGGUGCGUAACGCGUGGAAAUCUGCCCUUGGCUUCGGAAUAACAGUUAGAAAUGACCGCUAAUACCGGAUGAUGUCUUCGGACCAAAGAUUUAUCGGCCAGGGAUGAGCCCGCGUAGGAUUAGGUAGUUGGUGGGGUAAAGGCCUACCAAGCCGACGAUCCUUAGCUGGUCUGAGAGGAUGAUCAGCCACACUGGGACUGAGACACGGCCCAGACUCCUACGGGAGGCAGCAGUGGGGAAUAUUGGACAAUGGGCGCAAGCCUGAUCCAGCAAUGCCGCGUGAGUGAUGAAGGCCUUAGGGUCGUAAAGCUCUUUUACCCGGGAUGAUAAUGACAGUACCGGGAGAAUAAGCUCCGGCUAACUCCGUGCCAGCAGCCGCGGUAA